GGAUAAUAUCUCAUAUACAUGGGGACUGAGUUAAUUCAAUCAUUUGAGCUAUCCAAUCCCUUGAUCAGAAUUGUUCAUUAUAAAUAUAAUUAUUUAAGUCCUAUGUAGGAUAGUUAAACCCAGAUUGGGCUACGUGAGGUCGAACAGACCAAUAUAUAUGUAUAUGUGUGUGUGCAUGUAUAUAAAAAAGAAGAAGAAGAAGAAGAAGAAGAAAGAAAAAAAGAAAGAAAGAAAAAGAAAUGAAAAGAAAAGAUGAAGGGGAGAA
rnacentral:lncRNA from 1 species